CCACGCUGCACAGCACCGCGCCUCCUCCGGCAAAAGCGAUGUUCAGGCGCUCUGCGAGCAGCACCCGUGGGGAGCUCAGUGACCUUCUCGCUCCCAUCAUCCCUUGGGCCACAGUUUCUAAAGCAGCCCCACAAACACUCACCUGAUUUCGGCGUCAGACCUAUGAGGCAGGUAGGGAGGGGUUCUUCCUAACAUCCUCAUCUUACAAAUGGAAACGGAGGCACAGGGAGGGAUGAUGGAUUCACACCUGCCUCGGCCAUGCACCCCAUCACAAAACCAGAAGCCUAGGAGUGCUCCUGUCAUCUUGAUUUUUCUCUCACAUCAGUGAUUCCAAAAUAAGGACUUAACCUGUGUGCUUCUCUUCUUCUCGCUGUCCCCACCCACCAGAGUCUCCCACCUGGACUGUUACCAUUGCCUCCUAACUGACCUUCCUACUUGCAUGCCUGUCAUCAUCUGCCCAUUUUCAACAUGCCUUCCAGAAGACAAAAUCUAUACUUAUCAGCUGAAGUUUGCAUAAAAUGCUCCAGUGCCUUCCACUUGCACCCAGGAUUCAAUCCAAAGCCCCUCCCAGGGCUGCCCAGGCUGUUUCCCCAACCUCCUUAGGGCCAUCUCCUCCUGGCUCCUACCCUCCUUGGCCCACUGCUGCCCCCGGAUCACACCCAGCUCCUCCCAGGACCUCAGCCCUGGCUGCUCCAGACCUUCCACUUGGUCCCUUGCCUUCUGUCAGUUCCCAAAGGUCAUCUUCCCAGAGAGACCCUCCCUGACCCUGGGUAAACUGCGUCUCCCUAUGCUGCUCCAGCCAGCACCCUGUUGACUCCCCUCACAAUGCUAACAAGCAUCUGCAUUCCAUUUGCAUUUGUGGUUGUUUGCUUGUUUGUUCUGUCUCCCCCACUAGACAUUCCAGGAAGGUGA
rnacentral:lncRNA from 10 species